rnacentral:rRNA from 1 species
ACGCUGGCGGCACGCCUAACACAUGCAAGUCGAACGAAGUAGCAAUACUUAGUGGCAGACGGGUGAGUAACAUGUAGGUAUCUGCCCUUUGGCCUGGAAUAACACGAGGAAACUUGUGCUAAUACCGGAUAAGUCUUUACGGAGAAAGCUUUAUGCACCAUUGGAUGAGCCUGCACUUGAUUAGUUUGUUGGUGGGGUAAUGGCCUACCAAGACUGUGAUCAAUAGCUGAUUUGAGAGGAUGAUCAGCCACAUUGGGACUGAGACACGGCCCAAACUCCUACGGGAGGCAGCAGUGGGGAAUCUUGCACAAUGGAGGAAACUCUGAUGCAGCGAUGCCGCGUGAGUGAAGAAGGCCCUUGGGUUGUAAAGCUCUUUCGUCGGGGAAGAAAAUGACUGUACCCGAAUAAGAAGGUCCGGCUAACUUCGUGCCAGCAGCCGCGGUAAUACGAAGGGACCUAGCGUAGUUCGGAAUUACUGGGCUUAAAGAGUUCGUAGGUGGUUGAAAAAGUUGGUGGUGAAAUCCCAGAGCUUAACUCUGGAACUGCCAUCAAAACUUUUCAGCUAGAGUAUGAUAGAGGAAAGCAGAAUUUCUAGUGUAGAGGUGAAAUUCGUAGAUAUUAGAAAGAAUACCAAUUGCGAAGGCAGCUUUCUGGAUCAUUACUGACACUGAGGAACGAAAGCAUGGGUAGCGAAGAGGAUUAGAUACCCUCGUAGUCCAUGCCGUAAACGAUGUGUGUUAGACGUUGGAAAUUUAUUUUCAGUGUCGCAGCGAAAGCGAUAAACACACCGCCUGGGGAGUACGACC